rnacentral:rRNA from 1 species
CUACGGGUUGCAGCAGUGGGGAAUAUUGCACAACGGGCGCAAGCCUGAUGCAGCCAUGCCGCGUGUAUGAAGAAGGCCUUCGGGUUGUAAAGUACUUUCAGCGGGGAGGAAGGGAGUAAAGUUAAUACCUUUGCUCAUUGACGUUACCCGCAGAAGAAGCACCGGCUAACUCCGUGCCAGUAGCCGCGGUAAUACGGAGGGUGCAAGCGUUAAUCGGAAUUACUGGGCGUAAAGCGCACGCAGGCGGUUUGUUAAGUCAGAUGUGAAAUCCCCGGGCUCAACCUGGGAACUGCAUCUGAUACUGGCAAGCUUGAGUCUCGUAGAGGGGGGUAGAAUUCCAGGUGUAGCGGUGAAAUGCGUAGAGAUCUGGAGGAAUACCGGUGGCGAAGGCGGCCCCCUGGACGAAGACUGACGCUCAGGUGCGAAAGCGUGGGGAGCAAACAGGAUUAGAUACCCGAGUAGUC